GGGGGCCGCGCGCCUGCUCGGGGGCGGGCGCGAGCCGGCGGGGCUGGCGCGCGCAAGCUGCGCGGGUUGCAGCGGGUGCGCUGCAGCAAAGCGCGGAGGACGCAGGGUGGGGCGCGCGCGGGCGUGUGCACGAGGUGCAGAGUCUCACAACUGUUCCUGGAGCUGUGCUGCCAUGAAGCAUCUGUGAAAUGAAGUGACUCGUUGGGUCAAUCACAUGGCUGUUUUCUUGGAGAGAGCACAUUUCAGGCGAGCGCGUUCCAGCUGCCGUGACCUCGGGGACUUUUGCAUGGUUCUUCUGACAAGUGCAAGAUAGCCGGUGGGAACGAGACCCGUAAUUAAUCCCCUGAAUGCACAGCGCAAGCAGGAAUGGCUCUUGGACAGAGAAGCUCUUCAGUUGCUGCAAGGAGGAAACGUAUUUACUGAUGAUGGAGGAGGAAGGUGUUUGCCUUGCUGGAGAGGUGUGGGACUGCCAUGGCUUUAUUUCCGGAAAAUGAAGAUAAUUGUAAGCCGGCAUCACUUUCUGAAGGUACAAGAACAAGGGUCUGGGCUGGCUGUGAAGGGCUAAGUGAUGUGUAAAGAACACUCUCUCAUCUCUCUUGCCUUCGGUGUGAGCUUGUCUGUGGUGCAUCCCAGCUGAACAGGAUGAAAGGAUCCGUAUUCAGCGCAUAACACCUACAGCUCAAGCCAGAAAAAGAGCCCAGGAAAAAAACAAACAGCAAAACCCUCCUGCUUUGAAAUUCCCUGAUGUUGCUUACUUUCACAGCUGCUUCAAGGACCAAAGCUUUUAAAAUCUUAGAGAAGACACUAAGAGCAGCUGAUUCACCCAAUAAUGUUUCUUUAAACUGGUUUCAUGUUUUCCACACAGAAUCUUGGGGGUCAGCAUUCUUCCUUGUUUCACAACCGGUGAAACAGAGACACAGAAAGGGCAGAUGACAUAUUCAAGAUCACAUAAUGAAUCCUGAGAGUCUCAAGAACUACAAGAUGAGGUCCUGAUUUUGAGCUAAUGGAUAGAAUCCUAAAUUCACAGUAUUUCCCAGAACUGUCCUGCUGUGGGAAGCCCAGCCCGUACGACUUUAUUUAGUAGAGUCUUUGAUUUUUCCUUUUUUUCCCAAGGAAGAUGAAUCCAGGAGAUCCCGUGAACCUUUUGGGGUUGUCAGAGCACUUUUUGUAAGAGUAAAGACUUGUCUCACUGCCUCCCUUCUGUUUGACCGUGACCUGCGAAGGACUCCGGAGCACCAAGAGAGGACGUGAGACCGUGACACAUGGCUUAGGGUGCGAUAAACCAGCCCUUGCUCUGGGCCUCUGAAAAACUGCAGAGACUGUCGGAAACACAGAGAGGGGUGGUCUGCAAGUAAGAAAAGAGGGGGCUGACAUGAGGGGAGAGAACGAGAAGGGAAGACAGCAAGAAGAAUUUGUGAGCACGCGAGGUUCAAAGACAUUCCUUGGCUUCUUCUGCCUCCUGUGCCGGCUUGGCCAGAGCUGGGGCAGUGAGGACCUCACUUAAUCCGCGCUUCCCUUUCCUCUUGCACUGGGAAUGGAAGAGUUGUGUGUGACCCUGCUCUCCCCCUCUUUCCCUCUCCAUUUCCUUUCCCAGCAGCUCUCUCUGGGAUACGCAGCCAUCUGGCUGUUUAUUGCAGCGUGAGCUGAACUCUUAGAUGGAUCCUUUGGAAUUUGGUCCUGGUUUAACAAUUUCUCUCUCGCUCCUUUGCGUUUUCUAUACGUCUCAUUUGUGCCCCUGGAGCCACUAUUGCAUGAGUGCACUCUGGCCUUUUAUAUCCCACGUAUUUUCAUGUUUCCUCUUCUCCCCAGAGCUUCUCCACAUUCCUCUUUGGUUUCUAUUAUUUUUAUUCAAUUUUUUCUCACGUUUCUCUGCUUCCUGUUAGCACAGGGAGCACCAUCCCGCUCUGAAAGAGUUGACUGAGCGUAGGCAUCAGCCUCCCUCCUGCUCUAAUCCCAUCCGUCCUGGGUCAGGACACUGACCUCAGGGGCAUUGCUGGAGGCGGAAAGGGAAGAUGCAAACGGUUCCAGAGGAAGUUCAGCCUUGAAGUUCAGAAUAAUGAGCAAAAAUCCUUAGCCUCUGUCGCUUUAUGCGACGAGUAAAAUGCACAGUACAGUCUGCUUAAUCCCUUCACUUCUAGGAGCAAGCAAAGAUGCUGGUAAAGAGACAGGGAAACAAAAAGGAGCAGCUUCCAUUAAAAAACUAUCCUAUAUUGGUAAGAGAGCAUGAGGUACUGAGAUUAUAAUGAUAGUCUCUCCUGGGUACUUUCAUACUUCUUUUUCCUUCCAGGAUAUCUCAUAAGAUAAUGUUAACCACGCAGCUGCUGCAAAUAGAUUUCUUGGUGGACUUCUCAUGAAAGAACAGAUUGAUGCUGUGAAAUGAAAUCCUCAUUUGUGUCUGGUGGUGAGAUAAACUAGGAAUAUUAGAGCACUAUUGUUCUAGGCUCUUUGACUAUUUAAGAUUUUUUUCCUUUUUAUUUCAGUCCUCUUGCUAUACCAGUGAACUUCCCAUAGUUGUUUGCUUGUGCUGGGUGCCGUGGGGGCAGGACUGAAGAUAAAGCUGAUGCUUCUUGUACCAUCACAAGUGUAGUAUGUGAGGGAUGGAUGGUGUGCUGGGAUCUGUGCCGAGGGGCUGAAUGGCCACUGACAGCUUCACAGUGGCAAAGGAUGUGGACCCGGAAUAAUUAGACAACUGUGUCUCAUUGCAGCUCAUGACAGCUUCCAGAUGCUGCUGUAAGUGAUUCCAGAUGUGUUCUUCAGGACCUCUGGUUGUCGAGAGCACCCGUGCACUGGGAGGUGGCACAGCUCAGCAGAUGGGUGAAUCCUCCGUUUCAUCGAAUGAAGGCUUUAUGGAUGCUUUCCUGAAGAUGCUGUUUCACCCCAAAAUCACCAGCCAGAGCAGAUCAAGGACAUCUGCAUUGCACCAUCUGGAUAACUUUAUGGACUUGCAACUGCAAAUGUUGCCAGAAGGGGGAACCGAAGCUCCAUCUCCCAACAGCUGCGCUGGCACAACUGGCAGGCACGUACUUAUUAAAAGCUUUGGGUUCAGUUACUUCUUUCCCUCCUUCUUGUGAGGCAGCUGCUGGAAAGAACUCUUGGUAACAUUCAGAGUGGAUUAAUAUUCUAUUAGUUCAGUUUUACCAAAAUCCCAUGAUCUAAAAAUCACAUCAGGUCUGAAGGGACUUUUAAGUACUCGUUUAAAAUCAUGACGUUUCUAUUAUUACAGAUGCUGCUUGAAAGAAGCAUCUUCUGCUUUUUUUGUUCAGUCUUUCAGUGAUUUGAUUUCUCAGCAGUCAGAGUUUAUCUGAUAGAGAUGUGAUGAUAUUUCUAGUAACAUAACUGAGGAAACUGGUACUUUUAGAAGAUUGUCAGCACUACAAAUCUUACCAUGAAUUAUUGAGCCAGCAGCACUUUAGACCUCAACACUGUUGGCUGCCUGAAGGGACAACGGGGUGAGGCCACAUUUCAGAGGCAUUGAUCAAGAUGCAAGCCCCACACAUAAGGCUGCUGCUUUUCGGUUGUACAUGCAAUUCUGCAGAGAGCGGCUUAAGCAGAGAACAGCAACAAUAAAGGUAGGGGUGUGUUGCAAUUUUCCUGGGGUCACAGGGCUGGCAAGUGGCAGAGCCAGGAAUUGCAGCUGCCUCCUAAAACAGAGUUGUUUGGAGGUGGCACCGUGCCUUUCCAGGGCACAGCAAUGAUCAUUUAUUAAUUGUUUCAUUUAGCAACAGAUCCAGUAUCUGGCUCUCCCAUUUUUCACUUCUCCAUCCCCUCCCUUCAACCUCAUUUUCAAGCCACAACAAAUUUUUUACCUGUCUUUGGGGAAGAGAAGUCUGCAGAGAGACUCACAGCCUUAAAUGUAAUGGAAACAUUUGCUAAUGAAUGAGCCCUCGUUAUACACGUUACAAGGAAACACUUAAUUGACAGUGACCACCGGAUAACAGGGUUUAAUUAAUAAAUCUAUGUGGCGUCAUAUACACCACAGGAAGGGAUUACAGGGGUUAAUGUGUCUGUCUGUUGGACUUUUAUGGAAGAGUUGUGUUGCCUGUCUUUUAAUGCGAAUAACCCGUGUGUCUGUGACCCGGCACUUGCAAAGAGAGAGUCACUUGGUCCGGAGAACACAGCAGCCCUGUCUGAGUGCUUGGACGGGGCUUGGAUGGCAUCUGAGGCCGAAGCACACCAAAGGAACAUUUGUUUUCUGGCCUCUUUAGCCACUGUCUGGGUUUCUAUGGUGCUAUCUAUUCUAACUGCACACAGCACCCACACCACAAACAGGAUCUUAAACUUAUCAUUGUGAUGACGGGUUCAUUAGUGCCUCAGACAAAUACUUGCAAGCUUUAGCAGCAGGGUGUGCAGUAAGGGGAUUCUCAGCUGAUGGGUUUUGGUAGCUCUAUGGAAACAUUAGUGAAGCUGCACUGACCAGCACCACCUACCCCUCAGACAGGCUCUGGUGGUGCCACUGAAGUCUGUCACAGAGGACGGAUUGCUCUGAUGUGCGAGCUGCUCUUGGAGUUUGCAGUGUAGUGUGGAAAGGUCAGAAAGAGUCCAGGACUCCUAAUCAGUCUGUCUUUUGAUAACAUUGUCAUCCUUUUCUAUUUGCAUGUAUUUUGAACAGUUAUAAGCACUCAUUUUAGGGCUCAGAGUUUAUUGGUUUAUGAAGCACAAGGGGGUAAUGUUCACAAAUACCACCAGCGUGGGAACACUCCACCUUUCCCCACGCUGCAGAUUGCUUGGGUGCUGGUCACCAAAGCCUUCAAAAAUCCCCCGCAGAGGAGACAUAAAGCAGUAGCUGACAACAUUUACAUUUGCCCAGAAGACCUAUAUCUCCAAAUAUAAGUUGGCUAAGCCCUGCGGAAGCAAACAGAACCAGCAUAUCUGCUGUCACUGAUGUGUACAAAGUGACAACUGGGCACUAGGUGAACUAAACUGUUCUCUGCUUGAAGUAGCGUCUCGGAUCAAGAGAGCUCUUUGGGAAAUGGAAGAGUUGUGUAUACUCCUGUACGCAGGAGCAUCGUGUAGCAAUGUGGCCAUACCAGUUCUGCUUAAAACAAUUUGGAACGGAAAACUAUUUAAUCUGCUCUUUGACUUUCCCAGCAAUCAUUUGUGGCGUACCAGAACAUCUUAAGUCACUGUACUUUGCCUGGUUGAGGUUGUGCCUUUAAUAUAUAUUAAAAAAAAAAAAUCACACUGGAAGUUUAAAAGAGCAACUUUUCACAAGGAUACUCAGAGCACGUCCUUAUUAUUAACCAGGUACUUAACCUUAUUUAACCAAGAGAACAGUUGGACCAUGGAGACCUAAUUAGCCAGUAAUUAUUCUCAAGCUUUGCCUCAUCUGGAUCACAAAACAGAUCUUUAUCUAGUAUCAGUUUAGUCCCAUUGCAGGCAAUGGAACAGGAUUAAUCUGUUGGACUGGAUCCUGUUUGCAAUCCUAAUAUUCUGGGAGACCCAUCCACAAGCUGCUUUGAUUUACAUGCAAAGCUGAGACGUGACAGUGUCACUCUGGAAUGGCCCAAGAGCUGCUUAAUGUACGUGAAGCUGAUAGCAAGGUUAGCUCUGCUUAUUGAUGUCUGAAGCAGGGCCUCGAGUUUAGAAUUAUUUGCACAUCAAAUGUCUAUAUUCAGGCGUUUCCUGUUUUCAGCGUGAAAAGGCAUGACAUUUGUUUGAAGUUCAUAAAAAGAGAAAGAGGUCUAUAUAGUAAAGCAUAGGCUAUAGUAAGUUGUCCUUAGCAUAACAUUUCGGACUUCUUUUCUUUAUGACAUUCUUUUAGUCCAGUAUUAUGCAAUCAUAAUCUAUAUAGACUUUUUUAUAUUGACCUUAUCUAUUUUAAUAGCAAAAGCACUAACAUUGAGUGGUUACUACAGCAUAACCAACAACUAUUACAAGUCUCUCUAAGACUGUCCUGUCCCCUUUUUAUACUGAAGCAGGCAAUUAGCACAAUGACAAAUAAUUAGUGCUUGCAGGUGGAAAUGUAAGGGUGUGGGUACCCUUUCUUUCUUAUAAAAGGGGGAAAAUGCGCUUCCCUUCUGUUUUGUUAGCCAGAGGUCUAUUUUCAUUCUCUUUCUUACAGCAGGGAGACUUCCAGAGCAGUUAGGUGAUGUUAAAUAGGAAGGAAAGCACUGGCUCAACUCUAGUAAGAUUAUAAGAAGAAAAUAAGAAAUGAGAGAAUAAAAUGGAGGUAAGCUAUGAAGAAGUUUAAAUAUAAAAUAUUAGUGUGCCAAGCAGGAGUGUCUCAGGAGUAGGAAGAAAUAUAAAGGCAGAUUGGUGGCAAAGUGGUAGACAGGGAGCAGGACCAAGCUUUCAGGUAGAGCUCUCUUUUCUGUAUUAAAGUUGUUCUUUAAUUGCUGUUGUUGCUGUCUGCAGUCAGCUGGAGAAAAAUGAGAUGUCUGAGUCAAGGAACUUGGAGGUUGCUCCUUAAAUGCAUGAGGAUUGGGCACAUGUAUCAGUUGUUUGAUGUCCUGCUCCCCCACUUACGUUGAUAACCCAGUGAAAGCUCUGUGGCUUAACCAUUGGCACCAGGGUCUUAACAGCUACGUGUAUUUUAAUGUCCUAAAUUAUACUGGAUGGCAAUUGAAUUAUAGUUGAUUUCUCCCUGCUCCUCGUGGGUACCGGCUGGCUUUGGAGAUAGGGCUUGGCCUGCACGGAGCUGGGAUUAUCCUAAAAGCUCUGUAUGAAAGCACAUUGCAGCAAACCAAAGGGAUGUGAGGCAGAGCCAGUUCUCAUGGAGGUGAGCAGUGGCACAACCUGAUGGGCUGCAGAUUCCUCUGCCUGUUGUUAAGCAAUCCAGAGUGUGACAGAUUUGCUUCCAGAAUGGCACUGGUGCCCUUUGCCUGUGAGCAGGCUCCCUCAGAAGAGGAAAUUUGGCCAGGACCUCUGAAAGGGCUUUUUCACCGUAGCUGAGGUUUUGCUCUUUCCUUGUUUAGAAGGAAUGAAUCUAUUUAUAAGCUUUGCCUCGUAGAAAUCUCUCUGCUGUUCCCUUAGCAUUAGGCAGUGAAAACCCCAGCCUUACCUAUGAGCCCCAGGGACCCACCAGCGCUACAGUAACUUCUGGUGUACUCUGUUAUUUAUCGCCUCCCAGAGCCCCUGUCUGUCCUUGCUUGCCCUUGUAUUAAUUAAGCGUGAGUUUAUCUACACCAGUGAAUUGCAGCAGCGCUUGGGAAGUGAAGAGCAAGACCUGGGCUCUUGUCCUGCGGUAGCUGGGGCUUCUUGCAGGCAAUUCCUGACCCUUGGAAGCCUGAGCGGUUGGUGCAGGACACACAGCAUCUGGGAUCUCUCUGGGGAUGGUGGUCCUGGUUCCGUUCGAAUGGCUGUGUUAAAAUCUGUCUGCAGGUUUGGAUUUGGGGCCUUGCUGCGCCCGGAAUGAUGAAGGCUGUCUAGAAACCAUUUAUAAAGAUCAGUACUUGAUGGCAUCAAUAACUCCCCCUGGGCUUCUUGCAGGCUGAGAUAGUGGCAGAUUGUCAAAAUUACUUAACGUCCUGGAACACCACCCAUUCCGGUAUGAAUAGGCUUCUUGUGUACAGCUCACAUGAUCAUGAUGUUUUUCUGGUGUCUCUAUGGAGACUGGAGACAUUCUUCUGGUCUGUUGGUUUGGGAUCUUUUUUCUUCUUUGC